UACGGGGGGUGCGAGCGUUGUCCGGAAUCACUGGGCGUAAAGGGCGCGUAGGUGGCCUGAUAAGGGUGUGGUGAAAGUCCGGGGCUCAACCCCGGAUCUGCCGUGCCGACUGUUGGGCUGGAGUACUGUAGGGGCAGGCGGAAUUCCGGGUGUAGCGGUGGAAUGCGUAGAGAUCCGGAAGAACACCAGUGGCGAAGGCGGCCCGCUGGGCAGUGGCUGACGCUGAGGCGCGACAGCGUGGGGAGCAAACAGG
rnacentral:rRNA from 1 species